UUUACUAUUCUCUUAAGCGGUUGAACAUUACAACGAGGCACUUGGAUAUAGAAACCAAGAAGCGCCUUUUCAAGACCUUAUUGGUGCCUCAUUUUACGUAUGGAGACUUUAUUUACACGAAUGCAACAAUUGGUUCUCUAGACAGAUUACGGGUAGCUCUGAAUGCUUGCGUCAGAUAUGUUUACAAUCUCUCCCGAUUUUCCCACGUUUCUCAUCUACAGGCUUCCCUCUUAGGUUGUCCUGUUAUCAAGUUUUACAAGUUCAGGUCCUGUAUGACUCUUUUCAAAAUCAUUAAAACAAAAACUCCGGAUUUCCUCUUUUCUAAACUGACACCAUUUAGAGGUACACGUACGCGAAAUUUCCGGAUUCCUAACCAUAGUUCUUCGUAUUAUAGCCAGUCAUUCUUUGUAAGAGGUGUUGUGAGCUUUAAUAGUCUUCCAAAUAAUAUAAAAUCAAUUGAGGCAACCACACACUUUCGAGAUGAACUUAGAUCAUAUUUACAAUAGUAUUUUUUUUGUUGAUAUCAGUAAAAGAGAACGGUAAUUAUUAAGAAUUUUUCAAGAAUUAUCUAUU